rnacentral:misc_RNA from 1 species
GUUUUGAUUAGGGUGAUUCUAGGAGGGGAAGACAUUUGGUUUUGGAGGCGAACGUGGAUAUGGACUUGUUGGAUUUGGUUGCACUGUUGAAUUUUGUCUUUUUUAUGUUAAUUUGUGAGGUUUGGGUCAUGACACUACUAUAGCAUGAAGUAGAGAGAGAGAGUCGAUUGGGGGGAGGGAAAGCUUGUGAUUGCAAUGCAAAGGCGUUGGCAUUGGUGUUGGCGAUGGCAUUGGCAAUAAAAGGGUGGUGGGUGAAAAGGGGGAUUAGAAAAUUGUGUUUAGCUUUUCUAGGGAUUCAUGAUACAAAUUGAAAAAGGAUAGGAAGAAGUAGCAACAACAACAAAAGUAGAAAAAAGAAGAAGAUGAAAUUCGAAGAGGGUUAAAUAGAGAAGGUGUGUGUGCGAGGGAGAAGAGGCAUAAAGACAGAGAAUAGGGAGGAGAAUGUGUGUGUGUGUGUGUGUG